UACAGAGGUCCCAAGCGUUGUUCGGAUUCACUGGGCGUAAAGGGUGCGUAGGUGGUCGGGUAAGUCUGAUGUGAAAUCUCGGAGCUCAACUCCGAAACGGCAUUGGAUACUAUUCGGCUUGAGAGUUGGAGGGGGGACUGGAAUUCUCGGUGUAGCAGUGAAAUGCGUAGAUAUCGAGAGGAACACCAGUGGCGAAGGCGAGUCCCUGGACAACUUCUGACACUGAGGCACGAAAGCUAGGGGAGCAAACAGG
rnacentral:rRNA from 1 species